UGGCAGCUGCAGCAACCUGACAAUUAAUUCGUUCUCAUCCAAGGUAAUUUACUUCCCCCCUUUAUGUAUCAUUGAUGGAUAUAUGUGAUGGUUGGUUGUCAUUACUGAAGCAAGAAUUGUUGAUGGUGACUACCUUUCGAGCAGGUUUACCGCUCGUCUUGCUAAUGUUAAUUUGUAUGUUUGUUCAUGGCUUGCUUCCCAACCACAUGUGCUCCCCACGGUGAGGAACGGACGUGCUCAACGCCUUCCUUCCCAACCAGAUAUGAGAAAGAAGAAAUAGGACCAAGAAAAUUAGUUGCUCAUAUAUUCAUCUGUCUUGCGGAGAAGAACCCGAAUGGAGAACUUGGUAUGCCGAGUAAUGUGCAGGUUGCUUUUGUCCUCUCACCUGCUCUUUGGUCUUCGUUUGUUGCUCUGCUGGCUCGUCAUCUCCUUGGUUGGAGGUUGUUCUUGGUCCUGCCAUUUGUUCUUGUUAGAGCUCACCGAAAAUAUUCGUUCUCACCUAUGCUAAUGCCUUUCGGUUAAACUAGGAAUUAUUUCAUUGUUGGAAGCUUUCAUCUGCAUAUAUGCGUAAGGGGCUGUGUAUUUAUUUUGUUUCAUUCAUUUUUUGGUCUAUUUAUUUUGCACAGAAAGCCAUUUGUGGUAUGCUUUGAUGGGUCUUAUUUAAUACAAUACAGACAAAAUUGGAAGUAGUAGCAAACCAGCCAUGAAAUUUUUGAGAGAACUAUGCUAACCACAAGCAAUGAUGUACUCCUGGAUUUUGCCAUGAUAUUGUAGCCCACUUCCAAGACUCUAUGUACUAAUGUUAGCUACUUGCUUCUUUAGCUGCUCUAAUUAGGAACCAAUUAUCUGUGUGGUUUAUCGUCUUAAAAUUGUUACUAUUCACUUAGUGGGGGAGUGUAAGAAGUAGCUGAUUUUAGAGAACACUACACACCAGAGCAGGAAGCCAAAGUCAGGAAGGAGAAUGCAUGUACCCUUGAGGACUGAAGAAUGAUGUUUAAUCUUGCUUUUGUCUACGUUGCUAUUCUUGGUUCAGAUCCUUACCUUCGGUUCAGUUCCAUGUAGUCUUAUGGAUAGAUGGACAAGUUGGUGAAAACUGAAAACUACAGGAUGGAUUAAUUAAUCGGUUAAUUAAUCGCUGUUGCCCCUAAUUUUGUUUCAGCUUCAUCAACACCUUACAUUUGCUUGGUAGAAAUUUAAACUGAACACCAAAUUCAUUUAUGUUAUACUCGGGUAAUGGACUUCUUCAGAUAUACAAUUUCCUCGAGCAAAGUUUACAAUGCUUUUGUGCCACUUAUGACAUGCUUCACAAUUUUUUUGUCUUUCCUUGUGGAUCGUCCAUUUGAACAAUAUAUAUCAAUGUAAAUAACCUUACAUUUCCUUCUAUUUCAAUCGAUUUAAGGUACUCAUGUAUAAUGAUUACUAAUGACCGGCUGCAGCCACCGCCUAAUCUAACAUUGUUGUAGUCAUGGCUUUUGGCAUCAGUGUAUUCCAUUUAGUUACCUUUGCCUAAUGCGCCCUGAUGAGAGGCAUUCUUUUUGCCCUGUACACAGCUUUGCGUUUUAUGAUUGUUACUAUUUCUCCCUGCAUUCUCUCCUUUGCAUUGUCUGACUAUUACAUGAUUAAUAGAUGAACAAUCCUAUAUCCGCAAUGUAAGGCAAGGGACAAGCUCCUGUGACUAAAUACCUAGGUAUUUCAAUCAUCCUUGUGCACUGCUCCUGUAGCCCACUUCCAAGACUCUAUGUACUAUGAGCUGUUUUACCAUGCUUACAUCAGAACUCAAAAGUAGAUGUCAUCAGCAAGUAGGAGAUACAUGUCAGUCUGAUUUAGCAUGUUAGAAUUGCUCACAACAUUUCUUUCGGCAUGCCAAUGAAAAUGGCCCUUCCCGUUCUGAGGUUCAUUAUGUUUAUUGAAGUCCUCACCAUCUUUAUAUUCAUUACAUAUUCUCAAUAGCUUAUUUCUUAAUACCUAAAAUGAAUACCAGGAGCUCAAUCUUACCUCUCCAAUUUAUCCUUAUUUGAGUAUUAAGGGCACCUACAUUUCUUUGGUUCUGUAUGACUGAUCAAAUUAACACACCUCAAUCAUAGUAAAAUCUGAAAGGAGAUGUAAAAGAAUCAAAGAAAAGUAGAGAUGCACAAUAUUUUUUGAUUUUUAGGGAUUGUUCUUGGGUUCAGCUUUUGCUGGCAUGUUGUUAUUACAGAGUUACCCUAUCUCUUUGAAUCGUCAUAUGUACUCCAGCCUCUUAUAGAUUAUGCAACUAGCUAAUGGUUGGAACUUUAAUACUUAGCUUUAUUUACAGGUAGCACAACCUCAUGUUAGUUGCCAUUUUAUUGCUACAGAUAUGGUUUUGUUCUGAUUGUAUAUGUGAUGAUUUUAUCCAUGUGUAUGUAUGUGGUCUUUAAAGUUGUUGAAAGAUUGAAAGCGUAAGCAAGUUCGCCAAAUUCCUUCGGUACUUUCAAAGAAAUCAAUGUCCCAUCUGUCUAUGGAAAACUCUAAGAAGGCUCGAUUGGCACAUGAAGCUCUUAAAUACUUGAGAGCCUUUUACAACAAGGUCCUAUAAGACUACAUACAUAUAUUACACCGGUUGUCCCAGCUCAUAGUUGGUUGUCAACAGUCCGGUUGGUUGAACAAGGUCCUAUAAGACUACAUACAUAUAUUGCUACAGAUAUGGUGUUGCCAUUUUAUUGCUACAGAUAUGGUUGUUCUGAUUGUAUACAUACAUAUAAUUCUGCAGUUUGUUCACGCCCGAAUAAUAUUAAUGUAUACUC